rnacentral:rRNA from 1 species
AACGAACGCUGGCGGCAUGCCUAACACAUGCAAGUCGAACGAGAUCUUCGGGUCUAGUGGCGCACGGGUGCGUAACGCGUGGGAAUCUGCCCUUUGGUUCGGAAUAACAGUUGGAAACGACUGCUAAUACCGGAUGAUGACGAAAGUCCAAAGAUUUAUCGCCAGAGGAUGAGCCCGCGUAGGAUUAGCUAGUUGGUGUGGUAAAGGCGCACCAAGGCGACGAUCCUUAGCUGGUCUGAGAGGAUGACCAGCCACACUGGGACUGAGACACGGCCCAGACUCCUACGGGAGGCAGCAGUGGGGAAUAUUGGACAAUGGGCGAAAGCCUGAUCCAGCAAUGCCGCGUGAGUGAUGAAGGCCUUAGGGUUGUAAAGCUCUUUUACCCGGGAUGAUAAUGACAGUACCGGGAGAAUAAGCUCCGGCUAACUCCGUGCCAGCAGCCGCGGUAA